GCGCUUUGUAACGUACCUCCUGUACGAGUGCGGUCCUACGCCUACGGGAGUUGUAAAUCACUCCGUACGCUCCCCGUUGGUGUGCGUGCUCAGAACUGCUUGACAGUGAGCUGUCAGGAAUCUGAAGGCCGUGGCCUAGAGGCACGUUGUUGCUUCCGGCAUGCCGCAGGCCCUGCCUUCGCCCGGCCUCAGCCGUCGCCUCUCCCCGCUGGCAUCUCCGAAUGCCGCACGGUACCGCCAGCCGUAGCAGGCAGCGAGGAGCCCUGAGCGCUGCAGCACAGGAAGCUGACAGUGCACAGGAGAACCAUCGCUGCGGUUGGUCAUUGGUUCCCGUUUGAGUGCCGCAAACCAAUUCCAAGGAAUGGAGGAGAAUAAGGGGCAGCGUGCUAAAAGCAGCGGCGCGGUGAGCGACCUGAGGAGAAGCUGGCAGACCUGGGCAGAGGAUCGGGUUGAGUACCAGAGGAAGAACCCAUUCAGCAACGAUGAUAGGCUCGCAUCUAAACCUCUGCAUGCUCAGAAAGGAGACCUUGCCUACGGGAGACCCCCUGAAGGGUCUAAAACAGAGCAGAGAGGGAAAGAUGCUCACUCGCAUGUGGAAAAGGAGGUGGAAGAGCUGUGCCUGAUCAUCAGAAGCACGGGGCAGAAGGGAGAAGACGGACACGUGAGUGUAACGUUUGGGCAGCUGUUUGAGACAUAUGUGACUAUCUCCAACAAAGUGGUGGGAAUCUUGCUGAGAGCCAGAAAACACGGCCUGGUUCAUUUUGAAGGUGAAAUGCUUUGGCAAGGAAAGGAUGAUGAUGUGGUCAUCACUUUGCUGGAAUGAGACUUUGGCAUCUGAUGAAUUUUGCUGCUUGUUUCCAUUUGGAAAAACCUCUAGAUACUGUCUUGAAAAGGUUUUCAUUGCAGAAUUUCAGCUCUGCAAAUUAAUGGGACAUUUAAAGGAGAAAAUGGGUGCGAAACAUAAAAAAAUGGUUUGCAUAAAAAUAAUAAGCAAUUUUGGAGAGAAAUCACAAAUAAUCAACUAAUCUGUCACAAUACCGAGUAUGCUGUGGUUCUUCAAGCAUCCUCACUGGGUUAGUGCUUUAGGUUCUGAACACUAAUGACUAAUUGCCACCAUACAGCACUGAAUCUUGGAGGUUGUGAAAGACUUGCUGUGGGGGGGAUUUUCUGAUUUGCAAAACAUGGAAUUGAGCACUUUUAUGGGAAUUCAUAUACUUCAAGAGCUUGGCUGUAGCAAAGGUUCUCGUUACUGGUGACUCUAAAUAAAUGGCAGUUAGGUUGAUUUUCGUGAAGUAUAUGAAAAUGCCCAAGUUUACAGAAAUAUCACUUGCUUAGUGGCCUACAAUAUAUACAGCAAGGAUAUUUCAUGUUUCCUAAAUAAGCUGCAUCUUGCUGAACUUAAUGGUCUAUCCUUAGCAUCGUGUCUUCUGCAUCUAGUUCUUUUUCCUCUCUGUAUAUCAUACCACUUUCACCUCCUCUUCUAAUGCUGGGUCAUACUACGGGAGAUCACAAAGCUCUGCAGCCUUUUUGGUGGUCUCAAAUACACCCUUCAGAAAAAAUAGGGUGCCACAACACAACAACUUGAAACACAACAGAAAGUCUAUUGGGGCAUUAAUGAAAAGAAAAAAAUAACAAAAAAAAAGCUCUGACUUCUUUCAGCAAAGUGUAGCAAUGCUGUUUACAACAGGAGAGUAGAGGUCCUGUAGUGCCAAACGCGUAAGUAGACGUAUAGAGUGCAGUCACAUCCCUCAUUUAGUUGAGGCAGAGCUGUGUUGCAAGUUUCCAAACGGGGAGAUAAAAAUGAGGUUGAGAAAUGAGCAACAAGAAUUUUCCUUAUGGUUCUUAUAACCAUAAGGAGGAACUUUUGGAGGAACUUCUGGAGGAACUUUUUUCAGGGUUCAGAAUUGGUUAUAUUUGAUAGUUGUAAUGACAAUAUUAAAAAUAAUCAGGAACUGUGAUUCUAUUUCCAAUAAUUGCCACCAAGAAAAUGGGAAUACAAAAUUCUAUUUCUUUCUUUUCUUUCUUUCUUUUUCUUUUUUCUUUUUCAAACAGGACAAAUGGAAGCUCUGGUGUGGUAUAUGUGGUGCUAAGUACAGUACUUGAUGAGUCUUUAAAAUAAGAAUAUUCUCUUGCCUCAAAAGGAUACUGAGAUUUAUUAUAAGCUAUGCACUUGAUAAAAGUGAUUAUUUAAUGCUAUUUACAUAAACCUCCCCCCCUUUUUUUUUGCAAGAAGCAUGAGUUUUGACUUUUUCAUCUAUUGGGAUUUUGCAUUAAAUUAAACUUUCUGACUGAGCAAGUAAAAAUACAGUUUUCGUUAUCCCUCUGCCUCCUUUUCAUAGUGAAAAGACAAGGAAAAUGGAAAAAAACAGAGAUGAAUGUGGCAACAAGAACUAAGUCCAUCUGGAGAAUAGGAGAGCCAGAUGCAGGUACAGCAUGGAGAGGAAACAAAGGAUGGGCUUUAAUCACCACAUCAUUUCAGCAUAUUGGAAACUGGAGAAUACAUGCUGCCCCAGACACCACUGGUUUGUGUUCUCAGAACCACUCCUUUCUAAAAUAAUUUAUGGCUUAAAACAAGACUUAUGUAACUUGUCAUCACUUCAUAUUUAAAAUGCUUUGGUUUUUUGGAAAAGCGUUUCUAGCCAAAUGACAUGAGCAUGAGUUAGUGCAUUUCCACUCCCAUAUGAUGAAACCUGGGCGUGCAUUUUGAUUUCAAAGCAAAUAUAGCACAGCUAUGAAAUGUGGUGUGCUUAAUUCUAACCAUUUGUCAGCCCAGUUGAUUCUGCUCCAGCCAUGUUCGUAACUUGGAGAAGGCAGUAUUCGGCAGUUCAAGUAUCACCAGCUACAGGAUGGCAGUAUCAUGGAAAAUAAUCCAUUACUCUCAAAAGACACACAGUUGAGGCAGUGUGUAACCUGAGCACUCUCAGGGUGCAAGUCCAGCUUGUGCAGACUCACUAAUUCUUAAUUAAGUCUGACCUGAGUAGUUAAGCAACAAGAACUAAGGCUUCCACUGCCAUGCAUGUAGUGUCAGACAGUAACAUGGCCUCAGCUGUACUGCUGCUUAGGGUUGGUUUACGUAUCACUUGAGCACAUCUGCAAAAGCUUUAAGCGUACCUCUUACUCGGCUCGAACAGAAGCCGAGUAAGCCCUAUAUGAAAUGGUCUUAUCAACUGUGUGACUGUGAGAAGAUUGUCCUAUCUUGAACAAAACAAAGGGUCAUUAUUAAAAACGUAAUUCAUAGGAGGUUCAUAGGGGGUUGGAUUUUUUUAAAAAACAGCUGUAGGGCCAAAUUUCCUGUCUGCCAUUAUUAGGUGAACGUUCUCUGAAGGGUGACGAGUCUUUCUGUCUCAUACGUCCGUGCAGUGGCACCAAAAUCUGCCAAACUGGGUCAGUGCACAGGUUGAUAGAUGCAAUCUGCUUUCAGCAAUCGCCCAUAUCUCAAAAGAAGUCUUUAAAAGAUAACACAAUUGUUCAGUUUGUCCACCAAAUACACUCAAGAGUAAGAAAAUCAAUCUUAAAGCCAAUACAGACAAGAACAGCCCUAUCUACUGGACAUGACUGAAUGUAGCUACUAGCCUACAAGUUUUACAGAGCUCUGCUUCUUCAUCUGCAAUGUAGUUUCAAUUAGCAUCUACAGGUGACAGUUCUUGGAAGUUUUAUUAUGCAACAGGGCCUCUUUUGAGGAACAGAAAUCCUCUUUAGUGGAACAGAAUUUAAUAUAUUCACUAAAAAUGUAAGAUGUGCAUUUUAAAUAUUACAACUCGUCUGUAGUAGUAACUAAAGUUUGACCUUUUAUAAGGUUUUCUGUCCUACCAUGUAACAUUCAGCUCUUCCAGUCUCUCCUGAACGUUCACUUUUCUUUUAACAACCUUAUCUGCUUCCUCUGCAGUCUUUCCUUUGAGUUGAAGCCUGUGAGUUCUGCACCUGACUUGGACUGUACAUUGUACAGGAAUUAUCUGUAUUUUGUCUUGUCAAAAUAAAUAAAUAUUUAUUCACUUCAAUAAAUAUUGCACAACAGUUGAAA